rnacentral:rRNA from 1 species
CGGACGGGUGAGUAAUGUCUGGGAAACUGCCCGAUGGAGAGGGAUAACUACUGGAAACGGUAGCUAAUACCGCAUAACGUCGCAAGACCAAAGAGGGGACCUUCGGGCCUCUUGCCAUCGGAUGUGCCCAGAUGGGAUUAGCUAGUAGGUGGGGUAACGGCUCACCUAGGCGACGAUCCCUAGCUGGUCUGAGAGGAUGACCGGCCACACUGGAACUGAGACACGGUCCAG